rnacentral:rRNA from 1 species
CCAGACUCCUACGGGAGGCAGCAGUGGGGAAUAUUGCACAAUGGGGGCAACCCUGAUGCAGCGACGCCGCGUGAGCGAUGGAGUACUUCGGUAUGUAAAGCUCUGUCAGCAGGGAAGAGAAUGACGGUACCUGACCAAGAAGCCCCGGCUAAAUACGUGCCAGCAGCCGCGGUAAUACGUAUGGGGCAAGCGUUAUCCGGAUUUACUGGGUGUAAAGGGAGCGUAGGCGGCAGGGCAAGCCUGAUGUGAAAGCCCGGGGCUCAACCCCGGGACUGCAUUGGGAACUGUGCAGCUAGAGUGCAGGAGAGGUAAGUGGAAUUCCUAGUGUAGCGGUGAAAUGCGUAGAUAUUAGGAGGAACACCAGUGGCGAAGGCGGCUUACUGGACUGUAACUGACGUUGAGGCUCGAAAGCGUGGGGAGCAAACAGGAUUAGAUACCCCAGUA